rnacentral:rRNA from 1 species
UGGGGAAUAUUGGACAAUGGGCGCAAGCCUGAUCCAGCAAUGCCGCGUGAGUGAUGAAGGCCUUAGGGUUGUAAAGCUCUUUCGCCCGCGACGAUGAUGACGGUAGCGGGAGAAGAAGCCCCGGCUAACUUCGUGCCAGCAGCCGCGGUAAUACGAAGGGGGCGAGCGUUGUUCGGAUUUACUGGGCGUAAAGGGCGCGUAGGCGGCCCUCCAAGUCAGGCGUGAAAGCCCCGGGCUCAACCUGGGAGGUGCGCUUGGGACUGGCGGGCUGGAGUUCGGGAGAGGAGAGUGGAAUUCCCAGUGUAGAGGUGAAAUUCGUAGAUAUUGGGAAGAACACCAGUGGCGAAGGCGGCUCUCUGGACCGAGACUGACGCUGAGGCGCGAAAGCGUGGGGAGCAAACAGGAUUAGAUACCCCCGUAGUCC